CCUACGGGUGGCUGCAGUGAGGAAUAUUGGUCAAUGGUCGAGAGACUGAACCAGCCAAGUCGCGUGAGGGAGGAAUGCCCUGUGGGUUGUAAACCUCUUUUGUCGGGGAGCAAAAGCCGGACGUGUCCGGCGGUUAGGGUAACCGGAGGAAAAGCCUCGGCUAACUCCGUGCCAGCAGCCGCGGUAAUACGGGGGAUGCGGGCGUUAUCCGGAUUUAUUGGGUUUAAAGGGUGCGCAGGCGGGUUUGUAAGUCAGCGGUAAAAUCGUGGGGCUCAACCCCAUCCCGCCGUUGAAACUGGGGGUCUAGAGUGUGAGAGAGGUAUGCGGAAUGCGUGGUGUAGCGGUGAAAUGCAUAGAUAUCACGCAGAACCCCGAUUGCGAAGGCAGCAUACCGGUGCACAACUGACGCUCAGGCACGAAAGCGUGGGUAUCGAACAGGAUUAGAUACCCCGGUAGUC
rnacentral:rRNA from 1 species